rnacentral:rRNA from 1 species
UACGAAGGGUGCAAGCGUUAAUCGGAAUUACUGGGCGUAAAGGGUGCGUAGGCGGUUGUUUAAGUCUGUCGUGAAAUCCCCGGGCUCAACCUGGGAAUGGCGAUGGAUACUGGCGAGCUAGAGUGUGUCGGAGGAUGGUGGAAUUCCCGGUGUAGCGGUGAAAUGCGUAGAGAUCGGGAGGAACAUCAGUGGCGAAGGCGGCCAUCUGGGACAACACUGACGCUGAAGCACGAAAGCGUGGGGAGCAAACAGG